rnacentral:snoRNA from 1 species
GCCCUUCUGAAAAAGCACUUGCUGGGUCUGUGUGCGGUGGCUCAGCGGGUUGUCGUGGAAGGGCAGAGCGAAGGCAUCGCUUCUGGGUGAAGCGGCAGCCCGUGCUGCUUGGUUCAAUCAGGGGUGCGACAUUG